CUUUAUGGUGUAAUUGGUAGCAUCCCAGGUUCUUUCCCUGGCGGUGGUGGUUCGAGUCCAUCUGAAGU
rnacentral:tRNA from 1 species